UCCCAGUGAGAAGAUGCUAAAACUGGAAUGAUACAGUGAAGAUUAACAUGGCCCCUGCACAAGGAUGACACGCAGAUUCGUGAAGCAAAGAGUUUUAAGUUUUU